AACGGUCCUAAGGUAGCGAAAUUCCUUGUCGGGUAAGUUCCGACCCGCACGAAAGGCGUAACGAUUUGGGCACUGUCUCAACAACAGACUCGGUGAAAUUGUAAUUCCGGUGAAGAUGCCGGAUACCUGCGACAGGACGGAAAGACCCCAUGGAGCGUUACUGUAGCUUGACAUUGGGUCUUGGUACUACAUGUACAGGAUAGGUGGGAGGCUUUGAAACCAGGACGCCAGUUUUGGCGGAGCCAUCCUUGGGAUACCACCCUUGUAGUACUGGGACUCUAACCAUAGGCCAUGAAUCUGGUCUUGGGACACUGUCAGGUGGGCAGUUUGACUGGGGCGGUCGCCUCCCAAAAGGUAACGGAGGCGCUCAAAGGUUCUCUCAGUACGGUCGGAAAUCGUACGUAGAGUGUAAAGGC
rnacentral:rRNA from 1 species